CAGCCGCCGGUCCCCUCCCUCCCCGUCCAUCCUCUCCCUCUCGUUAGCUGCCGCUGCACGAACCUCUCGGAUGUGUGCCGGGUAGAAGGCCGGGUGGAUGUCUUUGCUCAGCAGGGGAGUGAAAGAAGGAGAUGAGGGAGAAAGAGAGGAAAGAGGAGACGGAAGUGCUGCGGCUGACGGGACAGGGUUGACGGCGGCUCGAUCCGCUCCUGGAUCGAGAGCUGCCAGGAGGCUGGGGCUUGGGCGUGAUGCAUGGGAGGCUGCAGUCCACCUCUUCCUUGUGGUGCAGCGGACGCCGGCAUCAGCGGGUGGGUGACAGACCGCGGCCUCAGUGGGUGGGCGACGACACCUGCAGCUUGUGCUAUACCCAUGGAUUCCGGCACAACUCGAAACAUUCAGGUACGAACAUAUAUAUAACAUGAGUUGCCAUGAAAGAUGUCUUCCCAUCUCAGGUGAUGAAGAUGGCGUACCUUUAUUUUUUGACACAAGUACUGAUCGGUGUUGGAUUUGGGCUUUAUAAACUUGGCUUUCCAGCAGUUGGUUUUCCUCCAUUGCCUGCUUAUUUUCCCUCUUCGAAGAGUGAAUAAAAGAUACAUGAUGAAAUACAGGUAGACAAGUGUGUGGAAAUUGGACUUCCAGAACUCAUCCUAAUGGUCGCAUUUUCUCAGGUACACAUUACAUUUUUAUGAAUUUCUGCUGGACCAAACCAUUGUUUAAAUGGUUUUGAAUGAGGUGAUGUU